rnacentral:rRNA from 1 species
UACGUAGGGUGCAAGCGUUAAUCGGAAUUACUGGGCGUAAAGCGUGCGUAGGCGGCUUUGCAAGACAGAUGUGAAAUCCCCGGGCUUAACCUGGGAACUGCAUUUGUGACUGCAUGGCUGGAGUGCGGCAGAGGGGGAUGGAAUUCCGCGUGUAGCAGUGAAAUGCGUAGAUAUGCGGAGGAACACCGAUGGCGAAGGCAAUCCCCUGGGCCUGCACUGACGCUCAUGCACGAAAGCGUGGGGAGCAAACGGG